UAGGCAUGUUUUUCUUCCAUGGAAAAGGAAACUACGGCAAAUGGUAUUUAAGUAGGCAGAGGACCAUUCCGGGGACUUGCUUUAGUGCCAUCAAGGCCACAUUCCUUUGGUCAUCAGACCAGUAGGUGACUUCUUUAUUGGCAUGCUCUACCCUGGAGCCCAGAAGGUGUGAAUUUGAAGCACUUUCCCCCCUGCUGGGAGCCUGGCACAGAUGCUCUGGGCUUCUUUUAAAACCAUGGAGUGCCAUGGUUGUCUUCCAAGUGGUCUUCUUUCUGCUGGGCAAAGCCUUGGCCCAGAGUAGUUACUUAAAGAAGGCUGCUUGGGAAGCGGGGUACAGGAUAAGGUGGCUGCCUGGCCUCGCAUUCUCAAGCCAUCUUUCUGGAAGUUGCGAGGUUCUCCAUGUGGUAGACUUUAUGAGUCAGCUGCUCCAGGACCUGUAUAUAUCUCUCACUUCUGGUCAGGUCUAGGCUCAUAUGGUGCAACUGGUUGUGAGAAACUUUUGUGAGUCUGUGUUUGUUGGAUGUAGCAGAGUGGGGAUCCAAGACUCCCUGGGUCUGCCUAGGGCAUACAGGGUCUCAUGAGUUACCAUCUGAGCUGUUCUAGAAACAUUUCUGGGUCUGGGGGCAGGAAAACGUUGGGAGCUAUGUGCAUUGCUGCAGUGGAGACCUGUCAGUAUCCAGAAACAACCCCAGUCAGUCUCCAGAGCAUUGGUGGGAAACCCCCCUCCCUGUGAGAGUUUCCAGGUGUGUGAAUACCCCCAUGCAUUACCAUCACAGGGGCAGUGGGGGUGGGCUGGUGGGUGCUCAUCUCACUUGGCUGCACACCCCAGAGAAAAGAACCCAGUUGUUGGCCACUCCAGGUCCAGGCUUGGCUGCUGCUCUGUUUUGCUGCUUUUCAUGUUGUCAGAGGAUCUUCUUGGGAACAAAUGACUCAGCAACCUGAGUCUCUGGGACUGAGUGGCCUAAGCGCCUUUUGAGAAGUGAUUGGACGUAUCCACCUAGGCCCUAAAAUUCUGAGCCCAGGAAGAAUGGAGAUCCAGACUGCUUUUCUCUAGUUUCUUCAGGCUGCAGCUCAGGUUGGUUUCUCCAUUUCCUCCCCAAUAGAAGGAUCUCACUCAUGGCCUAAGCAGGCAAUGUUUUAAUUAUGCUUUUUGUCCAUAGGAAAUUCUAAGGAGAAAAAGGUCCUGGUCUGUGGCCCAAAAAGCAAAAAACAACAAAAAUCAGCUACGACUGUAGUUCUGGACUUAACUGUGGCAGAAAGAGUUAAUACGAUGGUGGUCUCAGGGUGAGGACCAUUUUUUUCUCACGUCUGGGAGAAGCUCAUAUGGCUCAAGAAAAGAUGACGCAACAUUUAGUGUGGGACAGCCCUGUCUGGGUUCUGGGCGCUGUCACUCAAAGAGUUAAGCUAGUCUUGUGGCUGGGAAGCCCUUAGGGAAGGCGUAGGCCUGCAGGGACCAGGCCCUCUAUGCCCCAGAGCGUGAGGUGUAGGGUAAAAAAUGGGCUGAAAAGUGUGGCCAGGGAAGCGGAGUGUAGGCCCAACUUUUUUUUGCCUUGUUUGACCAGCCUUGGCACUGCCCUCCGGCUCUCCAGGGGAAAAGCUGCAGUUCUGCUCUUGCAACACAAGGAGCAGACUGGAGAAUUUAGAUCUGCGUCACAGAGCUCAGAGAGAGAGAGAGAGGAGAGAGAGAGCGCUCCGUGGAUAGGUCUGCUAGCAACAGCCGUGCUGCAGCAGAGAGAGAGAGAGAGAAAUCAAGAAACAAGUCAUAGCAACACCGGGCACCAGGUUCUGCCAGCUCACUUGCCAAGCGUUCAGAAAUCUGUCGGGGGCUGGAGGCCUCUGGGUAGCCUAGGCUAAGGAGAUGACACGCAAGGUGGCACGGGCGGUUCCCGCGGGGAGGAGGUGGGGUGGUGGUGGGGGGCAGGGGUGGGAGAAGGAGGUUGCGGGGCGAUGGUGGAAGGUUUAACGGGACCAAUUUCUGGAACAUUCGGGACUGCGGCACCUUACAGCCGGACCGAAAUUGGGGUCUGUGCAGGCGACGAUGGGUGGUCCGACGGGCUUCAGGACUUGAUGGCGUAACCCCCUUCUUCACCCACGUACGUAUUUGCUGGGAUCAGGGGCGAUGUCUCUGCGUAUGUGGGUGCUCUGUCUUUCUCACCUUCUUUCUUGUUUUUUGCUAUUUUUUCUCUGAGAGAGGGUUUUUUUUCCACUUUAAUUUCUUUUCCCUAGUGUCAGCUGCUCAAGCCUGACCAGGGUAGAGGAGAGAGGAGCAAGCUGUCCCCGGCGUCCCACCUGACCUACCAGCCUUUACCCCCAUUUUCUUCUGUUGGACAGACAGACAGACUGGUAUUCCGGGUUGUUUGGGUAUCAGCGUCUGUCUGUCCGUCCAUGCAGUUCUUAGGUGGAAGGUAGGGAGUGAGGAGGAGAAGUGCUGAGAGGAAGGCAAGAAGGACGAUUUUCCAGGGGGUGCCUUAUUGAAGUGUUGGGCUGGUGGAGAGCAGGUGGGCAGGAUGGGGCGUGGGCUGGGAGAAGUGGGGUAAAGCUGGUAGGUUUGUCACUGCGUAGUUGGGAAAAGUGGGGAAUGGUGACGCAGUCACUGUUGGAUCUUGUUAGGAGCUCUAGGGGGACAGGUAGUGAGGCUCACGGGGUCUGUAGGGCCAGCUGAGAGGGGUUAAGGAUGAGCUGAGAAGGGAAGCUAGCAUUUAGAGAUUAAAUGUCAUCCUUUUGGCGUUGGAAAGUUGUUUACCUUGCGCUCUCUGUGUCUCCAUGUUGGCACCCUUCCAGUUCACAUGUGAUGGCCUUCCUUGUACUGCUGCAUCAUUAACUAAGUGACUGAGCUGGCCUUCCAUUGGCCAGGGGAGGGCUCUCACUCCAGACACCUCCUCUGAUUGGUGGGUGGGCCAAUGGCAGGUGAAAACCUUUUUUUGAUUGGCUGAGGGCAGGGUAUCAAAUCUGAAUUUGCAUUUCACUUGCUUAAAGGGGAGGGGGGGAGAAGCCUAGCAGCUUUCUAAAAUCUGUUUAGGGGUGUGCGUAUGCUCCUGUGUCUGUACCUGUUUUUGACUGACCAGUUGAAGCCUCUUCCUAUGUCUUUUUUUAUCUCAUGCACUAUAGGGAAGAGGAGCUGAAGGCUUCCCAAACUUUUUUUGGAGGAGCAGGGGUUGGGCAGAUGGGUGUGCAGAGGGUUGACCAAACUGGAAGAGAAUAUUUGUUCUUUAGUUUGGUGUCGGAAAAGGGAAUUUUCCAAUCAGCCACACCUCAGUGUUGCGGCAAAAUAAUUCUUGGCUCCCCUGGAAACGCAUGGGCAAGGUAGGGCAGAGCUGCUGCUGCUGAUAUUGCCACCACCCUGGGCUUCCUGCUGACUCUGGGUUACUCCCCGGGGACAAGAGAUUUGCAUUGACGUCCGGGGCUGUCCAGAGCUGAGCCCAGUAUGGAAAGGACCUGCCUUCUGGAAGCUGCUGCUCCCUGGUGCUUGGAAAGGUACCAUGGCAGGGUCUCUCACUGCGGUUAUUUCACUUACUCCUUACCACACCCUGCGAGGAGAGUCCCAUGGCUGGACGACGCCGUGGGAAUGGAGCCGUGAGAACUGGUGGUGGCAGAGUGAGGGUUAACCAGUGAGCCUUCCUGGGAGCCUUUCGAUGCCAGUGUGUCGGGAGCCGGGCGAUGGAGCGCUCAGCCGGGUGGCCAGGACGUUCUGUCAACAUGAAAGCAGCAAGAACAGCUUGUCGGGGCUCGGAGCUGACCCUUAGGCUUGGGGUCAUUCUCAGGAAGAGCUUGGCAUAGAAGAAGGCCACUGCUGGACAUCAGGGUGGGGGCGACACCAGAGAACUCAGCGGAGUUCAGCUCUAUGAGUAGGUGACAACCUCCUGGAGACUCGGGCUCAGCCGAAGAUGGUGCUGGUAAGCAUAAGACAGCCGUCAUACUGUCGGAUAGAAGAGCCUGUUUGCAUUUAUUUGGAACAAAAAAAGGGGAUGCCUGGCAGCCUGAUUCUCUGCACCUCCAAAAGAAUUUAAUCUGCUGGACAACAAACAAUACUGUUAUAAAACUUUGAAAACAAGAGGGCGAGGCCUCCCUGACGAGGAGAAGGGCAUGCCGGGUAGUGGCCGAGAGAGCCUGCCAGGCCGAGAUGGAGCCGGGCGAAAGCCCAGUUGGCUGGGUACCUGGGCGCCUGCCCCUGCCCAGCCUGCCAUCCACGCCAUCCACACCAUCCCCCGUCCAGAAGGGAAGGAACCAAAAUGAAAGCAGGGCAGAGACGCGCUUGAAAAAGGGAAGUUGUACGUGUUCCCCUCUCUCUGAUCUGAUGAGAAUGCACUAGACUGUGAAACUUCCUCCCCUCCCUCCCUCCCCCUCUCUCCCUCCUCUCUCCUCCCUCCUCCUCCUGCCUCCUCCUACCACUCACUGUUCCCGGUCCUGAGACUGGCAGACAUAGGUCCUGAUAACAGAAUGAGGCUGGCAUAGCACUGUAGGUACAGCUACCAGCCGGGCCAGCUGCAGGGGAAGCAGGAGAGAAAGGUGCUCCAAGUUGGCUUUGGACUCUGGACCUACCCUCUGUCUGCCCAGCCUCCCUCCCCCAACUAGGGAAGUGGAACCGUGUCACGGGGUGUGCCCCAGUUCAUGUGCUCCGCCAGGUGUGUGCCCAGGUACUGGGUAGAACCGCCACUUGGAGGUUCGUGGGUACACCCCAGGCUUCCUGGUGCCCGCUGGGGGUCAUGCUCUGGGGAGGAUGUCUGACUUGAGGAGAUGCUCUGUUCUCCCUCCAGGAGGAGUAGGGGUUGUGCUGCUGAGGCUGGGGCAUGCCUCUGGAGGGGCUCAUGGGGACAGGAACAUGCUUCUCCCAGCAAGCAGGCACAUGGUCCUGUGAGUGAGGUGCCUGGUGGGAUACUGCAUCUGCUAGUUACUUGGUGGCUGAAGGAGAGGGCCACCCAGCUCUACCUGGGGAGGUGGGGAGCUGGGCUCUGGGGCAUCUCUCUCGCAAUCUGCAGAGUUAGAUUUCACCUGAGACUGAAGUUUCACUUCUGAGUCCAUCAUUACUGAGUCAAGUAAAUGAUUUGGGAGUGACAAGGGAGCAAUGUUGGUGGUUUUCCUUUGGAUCCGCUUUGGUUUGGACCUGUGAACUGUGUGGUGGGCAUUGUAUUUGUGUAAUAGACCGUAGGCAUGCUCGCUUUUCCUCUUGUGGAAAGCACUAGCUUCCUUGAAAGCAAUUCACGGUUGUGCCCAUCCUCCUCCACCAGGGCUAAGCCAUUCUCUAGGGGAACAUGCAGACAUCCGUGCUCCCAUCUUCACUCCAUCCGUCCUCCUUCCCCUUGCUCCCCACUGUCUCUUGCUGCCCCUGACGCCCCAUGACAUCCCAGGGCAGAGUAGCCUUGGUGCAUCCUCUCAGCCAGCCAGCCCGCCCCACCGAGGGCUUCUGUGCCCUGUACUGUGUCUGGGAGGUUUCCAGACCCAGGUUUUCACCAGUGGUGUUGAGGAAGGGACAGAGAACCUAACUUUGUGGAAAGC